UCGAGCGAGAGCUUGCGGGUAGCAAUAUCUUCAAGUUCUAGCGGCGAAAGGGUGCGUAACACGUGGGUAAUCUACCGUGAAGUUCGGAAUAACUUGCCGAAAGGGAAGCUAAUGCCGGAUGUGAUCGCGACGGGACAUCCCGUCGAGAUUAAAGCUGGGGAUCCUUCGGGACCUGGCGUUUCACGAUGAACCCGCGGCCUAUCAGCUUGUUGGUGAGGUAACGGCUCACCAAGGCGACGACGGGUAGCUGGUCUGAGAGGACGAUCAGCCACACUGGAACUGAGACACGGUCCAGACACCUACGGGUGGCAGCAGUCGAGAAUCUUUCACAAUGGGCAAAAGCCUGAUGGAGCGACGCCGCGUGGGGGAAGAAUGGCUUCGGCCCGUAAACCCCUGUCAUUCGCGAGCAAUGCUUACGUCUUAAUAGGAUGUAAGUUGAUAGUAGCGAAAGAGGAAGGGACGGCUAACUCUGUGCCAGCAGCCGCGGUAAUACAGAGGUCCCAAGCGUUGUUCGGAUUCACUGGGCGUAAAGCGUGCGUAGGUGGCCAGAUAAGUUCGGUGUGAAAGCUCCGGGCUCAACUCGGAAAGGUCAUCGAAAACUAUUUGGCUGGAGGAUUGGAUGGGAGACUGGAAUUCUCGGUGUAGCAGUGAAAUGCGUAGAUAUCGAGAGGAACAUCAGUGGCGAAGGCGAGUCUCUGGACAAUUCCUGACACUGAGGCACGAAAGCUAGGGGAGCAAACAGGAUUAGAUACCCUGGUAGUCCUAGCCGUAAACGGUGCACACUUGCUGUGGGCGGAAUCGACCCCGUCCGUGGCGUAGCUAACGCGUUAAGUGUGCCGCCUGGGGAGUACGGUCGCAAGACUAAAACUCAAAGAAAUUGACGGGGGCCUGCACAAGCGGUGGAGUAUGUGGCUUAAUUCGAUUCAACGCGAAGAACCUUACCUGGCCUUGACAUGCAAGUGGUAAAAGCCUGAAAGGGUGAUGACCCCGCAAGGGGAGCUUGCACAGGUGCUGCAUGGCUGUCCUCAGCUCGUGUCGUGAGAUGUUGGGUUAAGUCCCGCAACGAGCGCAACCCCUGUGUCCUGUUGCCACUUCCGCUAGCGCGGAAAGCACUCUGGACAGACUGCCUCGCUUAAACGAGGAGGAAGGUGGGGAUGACGUCAAGUCAGUAUGGCCCUUACGGCCAGGGCUGCACACGUACU
rnacentral:rRNA from 1 species